UCCUGCACAGGGAGCCGAAUCGCAAGGUCAAGCAAGAGGGGGAGAAGAAAGGGAGCCUUAUCAAAGGGACAAGGGCUGUGGUGGCUCGGAUUAUCUCAGACAGUCCCGCAUUGUCAGAAGGACUGACCUUCAGUUGAGCCACCACGCCAGACUCUUCCCUCUGUUGGCUCUUCUUAUGGGGAAGAUAAAAGGCCCCAUCACACCUUUUCAAAAGGAUUCAAGCCCUAUUGUUCCUGCUUACCUUUGAUUUAAACAAUGUUGACAAAUCCAGCUUCUAACGUCCAAGUCAAAGUGUAGGUGGACGCCAAAGAGAUGCCGCUGGUAUUUGUCCGUCCAGAUUUCGGCUUUCUUGUUUGUGGGAGGGCAUCGAGAUGCUGCCAUUCAAGGAGAUACAAGACUUUUUGCGCUGCAUUUUGGACUGGCAAAAACAGACACCUAAGGGCAACUGGUGCCUGUUUUUAGACGCAGCUCAUGUCGAUGCAGAGUUGGACGGCGGUUACUCAAGGACAGAGGCAACUUCACCUAUCAUGGCUUGGAUGGACACAGAGAAACUGUUCCAACCAGGUGUGACCAUAUUGUCAGAACUCUUCCAGACCUUCACUGUUCGUCUUUUCACCUGCUGGAAGACAGAGAAAGGAACCUCCAAGGGGAGGAAGAAGUUCCUAACUUUCCCCUGUUAAAUCUUGGGCUUCCACCUUCCCUUAUUGAUACCACCACAGCCAACAAGAUGGGGCCUCCUUUGGUGGAGAAUUGAGCUCAGCAUAACAGAAGGCAGCAGCUGUCAUGAAGACUCUGGUGGAUUGCACCCAGCUGGAGCUGGGGACACAGCUCCUCUUGCACGAAAGAUCUGUACCAUUGGUAAUUGAUUUUAUUUUUUUAAUUUUUGGUGGCGGCUGAUAUCAGAGUCGGAUCGCCUUGUUCUCCCGUGUCUCUAUUUGCAAGCUGUGUAUUUGUUAAACUAAUUGACUCGC